CAAUUUGCUCAUCAACCACACGUGUGAGUUGUGACCUUCUUUUUCAGAUUUUAUAUUUUAAUUUUUUUUUCUUCUCCCUCACACCACCAAAACACAUGUGAAAUUCCUAAUCUCAACCCAAAACACAGUUCAAUCUCCUCCACCGCCAUUCUCUGAUUUCACCUUCAUUCAACCUUCUCCUCAGAUUCGUUCAACCUUCAGCUUCAAUCUUCAAAAUCCAGGUUUUGUAGGUUCUUCUACUGCCGGAAGUGAGUCAACCAGUUUGACGUUACACAAGUUCCUUGAUAAGCAUAGCUUAUUGUUUUGCAGAAGUCUUUUCAAAGCUUUAUAAAUUUAAAUCAUGAAAGAUAAGUUGAAACAGUUGAAAGGUCAAACUUACGGCACAGACCCAUUGGUAUUGGAGUUCAAGGUCUUGAUGAUUCCUUCAUACUGCUAGGAAUGACAUUUGAUUCACCAGAGAGUUGAAAGAAAGACUAUACAAGUUUAAAUUGGAAGAAGAAAGAUUUUAAGCUCUUUUUCUACCUUUCAAAUUAUUUGAUCAUAAGCUGACAGGCGGCUAAGCUUGCACAUGCAUCAGAUGUGCAGUCACCACUAGAUGACGAUGCUUGAACACAAUGAUAGCGGGAUGAGGAUGUUGGCUUAUCAUCAUUUUGUUAUCAUGAGAAUUGUUUAUUGCAUAUGUACUUGGUAGUUCAAUCAUAUUGUGUGUGGGAUGUAACUUUGUGUGAUGCUCACCUAUUUCAAUUUAGAGCUAAAUUGUAAUUUUAAACUUCGGUGACAAUGAAUGCAGUGCAUGCACAAAUUAGAGGAAACUCUAAGUUCAGUAUAAUUGUACUAGUAUUAAGAAUCUGUUAAGUUUACAUUCCAACUUUGAGGCGAAGUUUGUUAAGUGCCAAGUAAUUUGGUUGCCCAUUUGUUAGCUAAGGCGGCAAAUUCUUGGCCUAGGCGCAAUGUGUUUCAUUUGAUUCCUCAUUGUAUUGAGAACACUAAGUAAUUAAAUGAGUUAAGUUUGUUUGUGUAAAAAAAAAAAGUCUGACCAAACUAUACAGAUUAAUAUAUUCUUUUUGAUUAA